rnacentral:rRNA from 1 species
CCCGACUGCUAUUUGGGUGAGAAUAAGCCAUGCGAGUUGAAUGGGAUGCCAAAAUUUCCCAUAGCAGACUGCUCAGUAACACAUGAUCAACUUACCCUAUAGAGAAAAAUAACCUCGGGAAACUGAGGAUAAUGUUUCAUAAUUGAAUAGGCUUGGAAAAGUUAUUCAACGAAAGGGAUAUAAAAAAUGGUUUAUAUCUGCUAUAGGAUAGGAUCGUGGUCGAUUAUGGUUGUUGGUGAGGUAAUGGCUCACCAAGCCGAUAAUCGAUAGGGGCCGUGAGAGCGGAAGCCCCGAGAUGGGUACUGAGACAACGACCCAGGCCUUACGAGGCGCAGCAGGCGCGGAACCUCCGCAAUACACGAAAGUGUGACGGGGUUACCCAAAGUGUUCUAUUAAGAACUGUGGUAGGUGGGUAAUGUCCCCUACUAGAAAGGAGAGGGCAAGGCUGGUGCCAGCCGCCGCGGUAAAACCAGCUCUUCAAGUGGUCGGGAUAAUUAUUGGGCUUAAAGUGUCCGUAGCCGGUUUAGUAAGUUCCUGGUAAAAUCGGGUAGCUUAACUAUCUGUAUGCUAGGAAUACUGCUAUACUAGAGGGCGGGAGAGGUCUGAGGUACUACAGGGGUAGGGGUGAAAUCUUAUAAUCCUUGUAGGACCACCAGUGGCGAAGGCGUCGGACUGGAACGUGCCUGACGGUGAGGGACGAAAGCCAGGGGAGCGAACCGGAUUAGAUACGUUGGUGCUAGUGAGAUAGAAGAAUAUCUAUUUAAAUGUUAUUAACACCACGCUAAACACCCGGGUAGUCCUGGCCGUAAACGAUGCAUACUAGGUGAUGGCACGGCUAUGAGCCGUGACAGUGCCGUAGGGAAACCGUUAAGUGUGCCGCCUGGGAAGUACGGUCGCAAGGCUAAAACU